rnacentral:rRNA from 1 species
UACGUAGGGAGCAAGCGUUGUCCGGAAUCAUUGGGCGUAAAGCGCGCGUAGGUGGCCACAUAAGUCCGUUGUGAAAGUCAAAGGCUCAACCUUUGAAAGCCGGUGGAUACUGCCGGGCUAGAGUCCGGAAGAGGCGAGUGGAAUUCCUGGUGUAGCGGUGGAAUGCGCAGAUAUCAGGAGGAACACCAAUAGCGAAGGCAGCUCGCUGGGACGGUACUGACGCUGAGGUGACGAAAGCGUGGGGAGCGAACAGG